rnacentral:SRP_RNA from 1 species
CCGUGCUAGCCGGGGAGAUAGCGGUUCCCUGUACCUGCAAUCCGCUAUAGCAGGGGUGAUGUUCUGUUUCGGGUCUAUGGCUUGCAAAGCUGCCCUUUGUAAGUGGCGUUGACGCUUUGGUCUUGCGCAAUGGAAACUCAUGAACCGUGUCAGGAGGGGAACCUAGCAGCACUAAGUGAGAUCUUCCGUGUGCCGCGAGGUUGCCGGGGCUGAGUUAACUGCGAAGGUAACGUUUGCAGCGAUGGAUUCAACGCAGAAUGCACGG